GGGUGGAGCCUUCCCUUGCCCUCCUCGGCACUUCCCCCACCUCACUGCCCGGGUGCCCACAAGACUGUGGACAGUGAGGUAGAGGGAGUGCCGAGGAGGGGACAGCUGGG